rnacentral:rRNA from 2 species
UGCAAGUCGAACGAUGAAGCCCAGCUUGCUGGGUGGAUUAGUGGCGAACGGGUGAGUAACACGUGAGUAACCUGCCCCUGACUUCGGGAUAACUACGAGAAAUCGUGGCUAAUACCGGAUAUGACACGUGCCUGCAUGGGUGUGUGUGGAAAGAUUUAUCGGUUGGGGAUGGGCUCGCGGCCUAUCAGCUUGUUGGUGGGGUAGUGGCCCACCAAGGCGACGACGGGUAGCCGGCCUGAGAGGGUGACCGGCCACACUGGGACUGAGACACGGCCCAGACUCCUACGGGAGGCAGCAGUGGGGAAUAUUGCACAAUGGGCGAAAGCCUGAUGCAGCGACGCCGCGUGAGGGAUGACGGCCUUCGGGUUGUAAACCUCUUUCAGUAGGGAAGAAGCCUUCGGGUGACGGUACCUGCAGAAGAAGCGCCGGCUAACUACGUGCCAGCAGCCGCGGUAAUACGUAGGGCGCAAGCGUUGUCCGGAAUUAUUGGGCGUAAAGAGCUCGUAGGUGGUUUGUCGCGUCUGCUGUGAAAACGCAAGGCUUAACCUUGCGCCUGCAGUGGGUACGGGCAGACUAGAGUGCGGUAGGGGAGACUGGAAUUCCUGGUGUAGCGGUGGAAUGCGCAGAUAUCAGGAGGAACACCGAUGGCGAAGGCAGGUCUCUGGGCCGUUACUGACACUGAGGAGCGAAAGCAUGGGGAGCGAACAGGAUUAGAUACCCUGGUAGUCCAUGCCGUAAACGUUGGGCACUAGGUGUGGGAUCCAUUCCACGGGUUCCGUGCCGCAGCUAACGCAUUAAGUGCCCCGCCUGGGGAGUACGGCCGCAAGGCUAAAACUCAAAGGAAUUGACGGGGGCCCGCACAAGCGGCGGAGCAUGCGGAUUAAUUCGAUGCAACGCGAAGAACCUUACCAAGGCUUGACAUACACCGGAAAAGUGCAGAGAUGUGCUCCCCGUAAGGUCGGUGUACAGGUGGUGCAUGGUUGUCGUCAGCUCGUGUCGUGAGAUGUUGGGUUAAGUCCCGCAACGAGCGCAACCCUUAUCCUGUGUUGCCAGCACGUAAUGGUGGGGACUCAUAGGAGACUGCCGGGGUCAACUCGGAGGAAGGUGGGGAUGACGUCAAAUCAUCAUGCCCCUUAUGUCUUGGGCUUCACGCAUGCUACAAUGGCCGGUACAAAGGGCUGCGAUACCGCGAGGUGGAGCGAAUCCCAAAAAGCCGGUCUCAGUUCGGAUUGGGGUCUGCAACUCGACCCCAUGAAGUCGGAGUCGCUAGUAAUCGCAGAUCAGCAACGCUGCGGUGAAUACGUUCUCGGGCCUUGUACACACCGCCCGUCACGUCAUGAAAGUCGGUAACACCCGAAGCCGGUGGCCCAACCCCUUGUGGGAGGGAGCUGUCGAAGGUGGGACUGGCGAUUAGGACGAAGUCGUAAC